UCCCUGAUGGUCCAGUGGUUAGGACUCAGCACCUUCACUGCUGGGGCCAGGGUUCAAUCCUUGUCCUGCAA
rnacentral:tRNA from 1 species